rnacentral:rRNA from 1 species
UACGGAGGGUGCUAGCGUUGUUCGGAAUUACUGGGCGUAAAGCGCACGUAGGCGGCCUGCGAAGUCUGGUGUGAAAGCCCCCGGCUUAACUGGGGAAGUGCGCUGGAAACCAGCAGGCUUGAGUACGGUAGGGGAUCGUGGAAUUCCUGGUGUAGCAGUGAAAUGCGUAGAUAUCAGGAGGAACACCGGUGGCUAAAGCGACGAUCUGGGCCGUAACUGACGCUUAGGUGCGAAAGCGUGGGGAG